CCCUGAACCUGAAAGGAUCCUUCAGAUUUUUUUUUCCGCGGCAAGUGAAGUAUUUAAAAAAAAUGUGGCUCCUUUGCGUCCAAGCUUUUAUAGGUAAUGAUCUUACUAUUCUCUUCAAAGAAUAAUUGCAGAAGGGGAGAGAGAGAGAGAGAGGAAGAUGGCAGCCGAAGACAACGGGAAGAUAUAUUUGAGGUACUACGUAGGGCACAAAGGGAAGUUCGGGCAUGAGUUCUUGGAGUUCGAGUUUCGUCCCAAUGGGAAGCUUCGAUACGCCAACAAUUCUAACUACAAGAACGACACUAUGAUCCCUAAGGAAGUCUUCCUCACCUCCGCUGUUAUUAAGGAAUGCCGCAGAAUAAUUUCCGAAAGCGAGAUAAUGAAGGAAGAUGAUAACAACUGGCCGGAACCCGACCUAGUUGGGCGGCAGGAGCUUGAGAUUGUGAUUGGGAACGAGCACAUCUCUUUCACCACUUCGAAGAUUGGCUCUCUCGUCGAUGUUCAGAGCAGCAAAGAUCCUGAAGGACUUCGCAUCUUCUAUUACCUUGUCCAGAAUGGUAGCUCUUAUGGCGGGAUAUGAAUGCUAAUCUUGCCUAUGGUCGUCCAUUCCCAUUGCAAUUCUGGAGCAUAAGAUGAGAACUCCACCUCUAACCGAGCCCAUGGAUCUUAAGUGCUUUGUGUUCUCUCUCAUCUCUCUGCAUUUUAAGAUCAAGCCAAUAUAACCAAGGAGCACAGCUUUGAUCUGAAUUGCUGAGGAACUAUAAUGUGGUUUUGAUAGACGCGGGGAAAUAUAGGCAUCCUUGUCGGUUUUGUUCUUGCAUUUAAAUGUUCCUUUGUGCCUAUGUUUUCAUGUGUGGGUUUUGAUAUAUUUGACUUCUGAAUUCCACAGAAGGUGAAGGUAGUGUGGGAGUUGUUACAUAAUUUUU